CAUGCAGCACUGUCUGGGUGGGGAGGCUGACAGGGAAGGGGUGGGCGUCAGGUGCUGGGGACCACAGAAGCUGGGACUGAAAACCUGAGAGUCACGGCACAGCCCAGAUAGCUUAUUUUACAAGAAACUGAGGCACCAAGGGGUGGGAUUACCAUCCUGGGCCUCGACCACCUGUCACGAGCAGCACCAAGACAGCCCCAGAGGCCCACCACAGAAACGAGGAGCGCUAAGAAGACUAAGGCGCUAACACCAGGCACACGCGGAUGCGUUCUAGACAACACAGUGCUAGCUGCCAAACACACAUCGCCGUAUUAAUCGUCACAGUCACUCUUGGAGGAAGGUCUUAUUAAUCAUGUCACACCUGAGAAAACUGAAAAAAGUUAAGUUGACUGGCCAAGGUCAAAUAUUGGGCUUGCUUUCCAACUCUGACACUACACACUUCGCACCGCCACGAAGUCUCCCAUUACAUUGGCCUCACAGAUCAAAACACGAACUCCUAAAAACAAUUAGGUUCUUCUAUUUUGUAUGGCUCUUCCACUCUACAUAGUUUAGCCUAUAGGCGAUAAAGAGGAGGAGACAGAGGGGCAACCUGGGAAAUCAAUUUUGCAACAGAACUUUAAUAACAAGCACAAAAUAAUUCCACAGGGAAUAUAUUCCCUCAGUGAGGUCGCCACCCACAUCCAAGUCACCAUUACUUUUCUUGUGGACAACUGCAACCAUUCCUUUACUGUCUUUCCAUUUCUACUCCCACUCCCUUCCAAACAAUUCUCCACAACAUCCGGAGUUAACAGGAAUAAUUAAAAAAAAAAAAAAGAUUCAUGCGACUUCCAAAUUUCAUCUCUUGAAAAUAACCCCCACUGCCUUUUUCUCAAUACCACCGUCUUUACUGCCGCUACACAUUCAGCACUCUGAAAGAAAGGCCCAGAGCAGGAAAAUUGCACUAUGCUAAUUUUUACAUUAUACAGAAGUCCCUGGCUGAAUGGAAAGAAACUGUCCCAUUUGCUUUUUUUAGUGGACCUUUUUUUUUUUCACUGAAAGUUUUAUUGAGAUAAUUGUAGAUCUACCUGCAGCUUGUCAGAGUAGAGUUCUGGCACCUUUCACCCAGUUUCCUCCAGCAAUAACGUCUGCAAACCUAUAGUACAAUGUCACAACCAAGAUACCAGGAUCAUUGUACCGCUAAAACCCAUUCUUAUUCGGCUUUCUUCUUACACCUGUCUUCACUAAAAUACUGGAAGCAAAGACAAAAGAAGAGAGACCAAAGAUAGAGGAGAAUGUUGCUUAAGGUCAGCCUUUUGGUAUAAAGAAAGAAAAGCAGGGGAGAUAUUGUCAUUGUUAACUUUCCAUUCUCCUCCCGUUUAGGCAGAUAAACAGAACUCUGUUAGAGAGCCAGGCUGGCAUCACUCUCUCUUUUUUAGAAAAAUCCUUACGGCUCCUGCUGUUACUGUGUAAACAAGUCUUUUUUGGAAAUGAAGCUUAUAAAAAAUUGCUUAUCUCUAAACCUUAAUGGCCAAUUGAUUUUUUUUUGCUUACCCUGUAUCCAUCUAUAAUACAUUUAAAAAGACUAAUGGUUUUGAACCUGCAUAGUAAAAUGUUAUAUUUCCUACUUAUGUUCUUCCUUGUCCAACAAGACAUAUUAAUCUUUAUUUAAAAUGUGUUUUUGUUUGUUGACCUUUUGAGUCUGUUUAAAUGCUACCAUCCUGGCCAAGGUCUCCAUUGUUUCCACAAAUUAUUUUUCCCUAAGAAUACCAAAUGAAAAAACUGCAUUUAAAAUAAAACAUAUAACACUUUCAGCCAAGUAUAUAUAUUAAGGAGUGUAUGCAGGUAAUCUAUAUAUUCUUAGAAGCUUCUUUUAAAAGAGCAUCACCUAAAUUCUAUUUUUCUGGAAAAGCAGGGGCAAACAUACACAUCUGAAUAAGAACUUUUAUUGGGAUUCUACCCAAAUAGAAUAGGUAACAAUUUAAUUCAUUGUUAUUUAUCAUUCCAUUAAUAGAAUGAAGCAAGCAAAUCACACUAAGCCAGGCAUACCGAUUGUUAUUUUUUCAUUUUAUUUUUCACUUUCCCCUCCCAUCCUGUGCGCACUCUCUCUCUCUCUCUCCCCCCACCCAACACUAACUACAAACCUGAGAGUGAAAAAAAAAAACAAAACGAUUUUCCCUUGACUGCAAGCUAAUUUCAAAGUUAAUAAAUUCCCAAGUAAAGGAGAUAGAAGCAAACAA